rnacentral:rRNA from 1 species
ACUCCAUGAAGUCGGAAUCGCUAGUAAUCGUGGAUCAGAAUGCCACGGUGAAUACGUUCCCGGGCCUUGUACACACCGCCCGUCACACCAUGGGAGUGGGUUGCAAAAGAAGUAGGUAGCUUAACCUUCGGGGGGGCGCUUACCACUUUGUGAUUCAUGACUGGGGUGAAGUCGUAACAAGGUAACCGUAGGGGAACCUGCGGUUGGAUCACCUCCUUA